AUGCUCUGCCUCCGCCUCCGUUCCCGUGCCCUCUCCCAGCUCCUCUCGUCCCCCUCCUCCUCUCCUAUCUCCCAGCUCCACCGCCUCCUCUCUGCCGCCGCGCCCGUCGUCUCCCCAAACCCUAGCUUCGCCGUCGAGGAUUACCUCGUCUCCACCUGCGGCCUCACCCGAGCGCAGGCCCUCAAGGCGUCCGCGAAGCUCUCCCACCUCAAGUCCCCCUCCAAGCCUGACGCCGUCCUCGCCUUCCUCGCCGGCCUCGGCCUCCCCGGCGCCGACGUGGCCGCCCUCGUCGCCAGGGAUCCCAAGUUCCUCUGCGCCGGCGUGGAGACAAUACUGGCCCCCAACGUCGUCGAGCUCACCGGCCUCGGUCUCUCGCGUUCUGACAUCGCGCGCCUCGUCUCGGUUGCCGGCAAUCACUUCCGCUGUAGAUCCGUGGUCACCAAUCUGCAGUACUGCUUGUGCCUCCUCGGGUCCUACGAGAAUCUCCUCUCUGCUAUCAAGCGCAAAUCCUACAUUCUCUCGUCCAACGUCUAG
rnacentral:rRNA from 1 species